UACAGAGGGUGCAAGCGUUAAUCGGAAUUACUGGGCGUAAAGCGUGCGUAGGUGGUUCUUUAAGUCAGGUGUGAAAUCCCUGGGCUCAACCUGGGAACUGCAUUUGAUACUGAAGAGCUAGAGUGUGGUAGAGGAUAGUGGAAUUCCCGGUGUAGCGGUGAAAUGCGUAGAUAUCGGGAGGAACAUCAGUGGCGAAGGCGGCUAUCUGGACUAACACUGACACUGAGGCACAAAAGCGUGGGUAGCAAACAGGAUUAGAAACCCCCGUAGUCC
rnacentral:rRNA from 1 species